rfam:Schistosoma curassoni strain Dakar, Senegal genome assembly, scaffold: SCTD_scaffold0002707
GCACUGCUGAGGAGUCCCAUACUAGGACGAAACGGCCUUCCAGUGU